rnacentral:lncRNA from 1 species
CACGUGUAGCUAUGUGUGUCAGUCAUGUCUUUCCAGACCCCCCCCCUCCCCACAUACACACAGUCUAACACGUGUAGCUAUGUGUGUCAGUCAGGUCUUUCCAGACCCCCCCCCCCCCCCCCCCCCACCCAUCAUGCCGGUGUGUGUCAGUCAUAUUCUUCCAGACCCCCCCCCUCCCCACAUAACACAGUCUAACACGUGUAGCUGUGUGUCAGUCAUGUCUUUCCAACCCCCCCCCCCCCCCAUCAUGCCCGGUGUGUUCGUGUCAUGUCUUUCCAGACCCCCCCCUCCCCACAUACACACAGUCUAACACGUGUAGCUGUGUGUCAGUCAUGUCUUUCCAGACCCCCCCCCCUCCCCACAUACCAACAGUCUAACACGUGUAGCGUGUGUCAGUCAGUCUUCCAGACCCCCCCCUCCCCACAUACACACAGUCUAACACGUGUAGCUGUGUGCAGUCAUGUCUUUCCAGACCCCCCCCCCCUCCCCCACAUACACACGUCAACACGUGUAGCUGUGUGUCAGUCAUGUCUUUCCAGACCCCCCCCCCCACAUACACACAGUCUACACGUGAGCUGUGUGUCAGUCAUGUCUUUCCUUCCAGACCCCCCCCCUCCCCACAUAACACAGUCUAACACGUGUAUGUGUGUCAGUCAUGUCUUUCCAGACCCCCCCCCCCUCCCCACAUACACACAGUCUAACACGUGUAGCUGUGUGUCAGUC